UCUCUCUGGGCUGGAGGGACAGAGAAGCAAUGCUGUAAGCAGCUUUAAGCCAGCUCACCUUGCACUGAUCAACCGGCAGUCUAAAUGAGAAUUCUAGGCAAAGACAGCGGUCUAGUUUGGUUCCCCUGUUCUCCUAGCACCUGGCAUGGCAUGGCCCACACAGACAGGAGGGUUAUCAGUAGCCAAGUGCCUGGUCAACCUUCCAGAGGCGAGAGGACAAGGGCGGAGAUGUACGCUCACCUCAUGAAUGGGUCCCACCAGAAGGCAAAAGUCCCCAACGGAAUGGAGGCAAGCAUUCAUCCUGCAGGACAAGAAUGAGAGAGAGGAGGACAAAGAGCCUGCCAAGAAGCUGUCAAAGGAGCAUAUGGAUCAACAGGACACAGAAAGGGACUUGCAGGGAAGGAUGUUGGACAUGAUGCAAAUGCGGACAAGUUUCCUGGAGAACAUGGUUACACUGUGCUCAUGUGUAACACUCCAACAUAGUCCUGUCCUACAGCCAGCUGAGAACACAGGGCAUUGAGAGCCUCCUUUCAGUCACACAGCUGCAGGACACACACUGUUCCCAUGCCAUCCCACCCCCCAAAAGAAGGUGAAUAGCUACCAUCCCACCUAUGGAUCUUUUAUGCCUUCAUCUGCACAAACAUGUUCGCUCUGCACUGUGGCUACUUCUGCACCAUUCUAGUUGGUUUUGAGUUUGCACUGUCUUGUUAGGUGGCACAGCAAUAUUUUGUUAUUGUUUGCAAUUGCACUCAGUUGAAAACUGUCAUUAAGAUAAGGAUUUGUCUCUCCCCACUACCACCUGUUCUUAAUAAAAUCAGUUCAUUACAUUGUAAUCAUUUCAUUCAUUUACAUUCCUUUCAUUCAUCACAUUGCAUUGAUUUGCCCCCCGUACAUCCUGCUCUCAAAAUACAAGCACAACGCUUCUGG